CCUGGCUCAGGAUGAACGCUAGCUACAGGCUUAACACAUGCAAGUCGAGGGGCAGCAUGGUCUUAGCUUGCUAAGGCCGAUGGCGACCGGCGCACGGGUGAGUAACGCGUAUCCAACCUGCCUUACACUCUUGGACAGCCUUCUGAAAGGGAGAUUAAUACAAGAUGUUAUCAUGAGUAAGCAUUUUCGCAUGAUUAAAGGUUUACCGGUGUAAGAUGGGGAUGCGUUCCAUUAGAUAGUAGGCGGGGUAACGGCCCACCUAGUCUUCGAUGGAUAGGGGUUCUGAGAGGAAGGUCCCCCACAUUGGAACUGAGACACGGUCCAAACUCCUACGGGAGGCAGCAGUGAGGAAUAUUGAUCAAUGGACGAGAGUCUGAACCAGCCAAGUAGCGUGAAGGAUGAAGGUUCUAUGGAUUGUAGACUUCUUUUAUACGGGAAUAAACGAAUCCACGUGUGGAUUUUUGCAUGUACCGUAUGAAUAAGGAUCGGCUAACUCCGUGUCAGCAGCCGCGGUAAUACGGAGGAUCCGAGCGUUAUCCGGAUUUAUUGGGUUUAAAGGUAGCGUAGAUGGGUGGUUAAGUCACUUGUGAAAGUUUGCGGCUCAACCGUAAAAUUGCAAUUGAUACUGGCAGUCUUGAGUACAGUUGAGGUAGGCGGAAUUCGUGGUGUAGCGGUGAAAUGCUUAGAUAUCACGAAGAACUCCGAUUGCGAAGGCAGCUUACUAACCUGUAACUGACAUUGAUGCUCGAAAGUGUGGGUAUCAAACAGGAUUAGAUACCCUGGUAGUCCACACGGUAAACGAUGAAUACUCGCUGUAGGCGAUAUACAGUCUGCGGCCAAGCGAAAGCAUUAAGUAUUCCACCUGGGGAGUACGCCGGCAACGGUGAAACUCAAAGGAAUUGACGGGGGCCCGCACAAGCGGAGGAACAUGUGGUUUAAUUCGAUGAUACGCGAGGAACCUUACCCGGGCUUAAAUUGCAACCGAAUAUGGCGGAAACGCUAUAGCUAGCAAUAGCGGUUGUGAAGGUGCUGCAUGGUUGUCGUCAGCUCGUGCCGUGAGGUGUCGGCUUAAGUGCCAUAACGAGCGCAACCCUUGCCGAUAGUUACUAACAGGUUAUGCUGAGGACUCUGUCGGGACUGCCAUCGUAAGAUGUGAGGAAGGUGGGGAUGACGUCAAAUCAGCACGGCCCUUACGUCCGGGGCUACACACGUGUUACAAUGGGGGGUACAGAGGGCUGCUACCACGCAAGUGGAUGCCAAUCCCAAAAACCUCUCUCAGUUCGGAUUGAAGUCUGCAACCCGACUUCAUGAAGCUGGAUUCGCUAGUAAUCGCGCAUCAGCCACGGCGCGGUGAAUACGUUCCCGGGCCUUGCACACACCGCCC
rnacentral:rRNA from 1 species